GACAGAGGGUGCAACCGUUGUUCGGAAUUACUGGGCGUAAAGCGCACGUAGGCGGUCUCUUAAGUCGGUGGUGAAAUCCUGGAGCUCAACUCCAGAACUGCCUUCGAUACUGAGAGUCUCGAGUCCGGGAGAGGUGAGUGGAACUGCGAGUGUAGAGGUGAAAUUCGUAGAUAUUCGCAAGAACACCAGUGGCGAAGGCGGCUCACUGGCCCGGUACUGACGCUGAGGUGCGAAAGCGUGGGGAGCAAACAGG
rnacentral:rRNA from 1 species